UGAUAAUUAGAUUGCCAGGUGAGCCCAAUUUAAGGAAAAACUACUAAAGGAGGGUGUUCCACAUUAUUAAGCAGAGCACCAUUUUCAUGCAAUAUGGGGAAGAAAAAGGAUCUCUCUGCUGCCGAAAAGAGUGAAAUAGUUCAAUGCCUUGGCCGAGGUAUGAAAACAUUAGAUAUUUCACGAAAAGUUAAGCGUGAUCAUCGC